rnacentral:rRNA from 1 species
GAUGAACGCUGGCGGCGUGCCUAAUACAUGCAAGUCGAGCGAACAGACGCUGAGCUUGCUCCUCUGACGUUAGCGGCGGACGGGUGAGUAACACGUGGAUAACCUACCUAUAAGACUGGGAUAACUUCGGGAAACCGGAGCUAAUACCGGAUAAUAUAUUGAACCGCAUGGUUCAAUAGUGAAAGACGGUUUUGCUGUCACUUAUAGCUGGAUCCGCGCCGCAUUAGCUAGUUGGUAAGUUAACGGCUUACCAAGGCAACGAUGCGUAGCCGACCUGAGAGGGUGAUCGGCCACACUGGAACGGAGACACGGUCAAGACUCCUACGGGAGGCAGCAGUAGGGAAUCUUACGCAAUGGGCGAAAGCAUGACGGAGCAACGCCGCGUGAGUGAUGAAGGUCUUCGGAUCGUAAAACUCUGUUAUUAGGGAAGAACAAAUGUGUAAGUAACUAUGCACGUCUUGACGGUACCUAAUCAGAAAGCAACGGCUAACUACGUG